rnacentral:rRNA from 1 species
AUGUAGUCAUAUGCUUGUCUCAAAGAUUAAGCCAUGCAUGUCUAAGUAUAAGCAAUCUAUACGGUGAAACUGCGAAUGGCUCAUUAAAUCAGUUAUCGUUUAUUUGAUAGUACCUUACUACAUGGAUACCCGUGGUAAUUCUAGAGCUAAUACAUGCUAAAAACCUCGACUUCGGAAGGGGUGUAUUUAUUAGAUAAAAAACCAAUGCCCUUCGGGGCUUGUUGGUGAUUCAUAAUAACUUCUCGAAUCGCAUGGCCUUGCGCCGGCGAUGGUUCAUUCAAAUUUCUGCCCUAUCAACUUUCGAUGGUAGGAUAGUGGCCUACCAUGGUGGCAACGGGUAACGGGGAAUUAGGGUUCGAUUCCGGAGAGGGAGCCUGAGAAACGGCUACCACAUCCAAGGAAGGCAGCAGGCGCGCAAAUUACCCAAUCCCGAUACGGGGAGGUAGUGACAAUAAAUACUGAUGCAGGGCUCUUUCGGGUCUUGCAAUCGGAAUGAGUACAAUCUAAAUCCCUUAACGAGGAACAAUUGGAGGGCAAGUCUGGUGCCAGCAGCCGCGGUAAUUCCAGCUCCAAUAGCGUAUAUUAAAGUUGUUGCAGUUAAAAAGCUCGUAGUUGAACCUUGGGCCUGGCUGGCCGGUCCGCCUCACGGCGUGCACUGGUCCGGCUGGGUCUUUCCUUCUGGGGAGCCCCAUGGCCUUCACUGGCUGUGGGGGGAACCAGGACUUUUACUGUGAAAAAAUUAGAGUGUUCAAAGCAGGCCUUUGCUCGGAUACAUUAGCAUGGAAUAAUAGAAUAGGACGUGCGGUUCUAUUUUGUUGGUUUCUAGGACCGCCGUAAUGAUUAAUAGNGAUAGUCGGGGGCGUCAGUAUUCGGCUGUC